rnacentral:lncRNA from 1 species
GCAAAGCACCUCUAACAUGUAUAUAUGUAUUUGUAAAUUAAUUAUAUGUUCUAAUGUUUCAACAUUUUUGUUUUAUAAAAACGUUUNNNUAACAUUUUUGUUUUAUAAAAAUGUUUUAUAACAUUUUGUUUAAAAAUAUUUUUUUAAUUAGCUGGGUAUGGUGGCACGGGCCUGUAAUCCUAGCUACACAGGAGGCUGAAGCAUGAGAACCGUCUGAACCUGGGAUGUGAAGGUUACCAUGAGCCAAGAUUACACCACUAUACUUCAGGCUGGGCAACACAGCAAGACCCUGUUUCAAAAAAAUUAAAAAUAAAUAAAUAUUUUUUUACCAACUUAUUUUUCCAGGUAAACAUCAUUAUUUUUUCAAGCUUUAUAAAAUAUCUCAUAGGAAUUGCAUUAAAUCUUUGCCAACAUUUGGAGAUAUAAUACUGUCAUUAUUACUAUAUUUAAACUUCUUUAGAAAGAGCCAGGAACUGAUUAAUUUAUUUCAUCUUACCCAUUCAAUACAUAUUUAAUAUGAGGCUCCUCUGUCACAAGCCUAAUUAUAACAAUGGGGCUUUGGAGUUAAAAAAAAAAAAAACUAAAAUAAAAUAAAUAAACAAACAUUAGGUAAAGAAUCCCAGUAGCCAGGCUCAAUGGCUCAUGCCUAUAAUCCCAGAUUCUCAGAAGGCUGAGGCAGAGGAGCACUUGAGGCCAGGAGUUCAACACUAGCCUUGGCAACACUGCAAGACCCCAUCUCUAAACAAAAAAUUGUUUAAGCCAGGAGUGGUGGUGCACACCUGUAGUCUUAGGAGGCUGAGGUGGAAGGAUCACUUGAACCAAGGAGUUCAAGACUUCAGUGAGCUAUGAUUGCACUACUGCACUCCAGCCUGGGCAACNNNNNNNNAUAAAAAAAAAAAGUAUCCUCACUGGUAGUAUUUGUGCAAAGGCAGGAUUUGAACACAGCUCAGUCUGCCUCUUAUUCUGAAACAUUUCUUUAUGUUCUAUAGGAGCUGAAUAGCAUUUUAUGUUCUGU